rnacentral:rRNA from 2 species
UCACUUUCAACAACGGAUCUCUUGGCUCUCGCAUCGAUGAAGAACGUAGCGAAGUGCGAUAAGUAGUGUGAAUUGCAGAAUUCCGUGAAUCAUCGAAUUUUUGAACGCAAAUUGCACUCUCUGGUAUUCCGGAGAGUAUGCCUGUUUGAGGGUCGAUA